rnacentral:lncRNA from 1 species
AAAACAACGUCAGUCUAGGUUAGUUCCAUUCAAAUCAUGCAAAUUAGAGUCCAAAACAAGGGCAAAAGAAUUUGGAAAAGUAGAUACGACGGGGACGUAUCAACUCCCCCAAGCUUAAAACCUUGCUUGUCCUCAAGCAACUCAGUUGACAAACUGAGAGAGAAAGAAAAACUUUGAAAAACUCUGUUUGAUCUUGUUGUUGCAACUAUGUCUAACUCAUAACGAGAAUUUCAGCAAGAUCACAAGUUAACCACAUAAGCAAAUGACACAAAGGUCUCACGGUAAACUAAUAUCAAUGGCAUAAUCAGCUAACGAGGAAAUAAUAAUGAGUUUCAAAUACCAACACUUCUAUCAAAAUGAGCAUGAAGCAAUAUGAAUAGGUGGUAUCUCGCUAGCUCUUUUUGAGACCGCAAAACAUAAAUGCAGAGGAGUUUCAAAGAUCAAGGGCUGACUAAGCAUUGUAAUUCAUAGCAACGAAGAUCCAGUCAUAGGCAUACUCAAUUUCAAUCAAAAGAAAAGCAUAAAAAUGACAGAGGUGCUCUCUAAUUGGUGCUUAUAUAAGAGGAGGAUGACUCGACAGGAAAAUAAAUAGACAUGCCCUUCGCAGUGGGAAGCAUUGAUUUGUAGAGGUGCCAGAGCUCAAGCUUUUGAAAACAGAGAUAAUAAUUUUGGGUGGCAUGGUUUCAUUGUCAACGCAAUGACCAAGAGUUGUCAAUAUCUUCCAUGCUACUCAUGCUAUAGGCAGUUCCCAAACAGAAAAGUAAAGUUUUAACUCCCCCACCACCAAUCAAUCACACUCCACGGCUAGCC